GAGGUUGUAGCUCAUUGGUAGAGCACCCGGCAUUCGGCCGGUAGGUAGGGGGUUCGAUUCCCUUCAGCUUCUCCA
rnacentral:tRNA from 1 species